GCAGCCGGCUUGGCCGAAUGGUUACGAUGUCCGCUUUGAAAGCGGAUGAACAUGGGUUUGACUCCCAUCUGCUCCA
rnacentral:tRNA from 1 species